UACGUAGGCAGCGAGCGUUGUUCGGAUUUACUGGGCGUAAAGGGCGCGUAGGCGGCGUGACAAGUCACUUGUGAAAUCUCUGAGCUUAACUCAGAACGGCCAAGUGAAACUGUUGUGCUAGAGUGCAGAAGGGGCAAUCGGAAUUCUUGGUGUAGCGGUGAAAUGCGUAGAUAUCAAGAGGAACACCUGAGGUGAAGACGGGUUGCUGGGCUGACACUGACGCUGAGGCGCGAAAGCCAGGGGAGCAAACGGG
rnacentral:rRNA from 1 species